CUGUGCCGGCGUACAGCUGUAGCGUGUGCGCCUGCGUCCUCCGGCCUGCCCGGCCAGCGGGGCGAGGCCGUGGGCACUGCGUGAGCUGUGUCACUCUCCUGGUCUCUCGCCGAGCUGCUCUCCAGGCAGCGCUGGACAGCAGAGCUGGCAGCAGGGCUGCAGCCUGGGCCAGUCCCACAGGCAACCCAGUCUCACUGCAGGCAGCCCAAGGCACAGCCCUGUCUCUGCAAGUCACUGCUGCUCUGAGGGUGCUGCGUGGGGCCAAACUAAGGCCGUGCUUCAGGAGCCUUUCAAACACUUUGUUUGCAGAAGCCACAGGAUCUAUUUUCUCCCACUGUUUGAAACAUCUUUUCUGCACGCCUCACUCCAGGCUCCUAGCCACUACAUGCUCUGUCUCCACCAGCAAUAGUGCCUUUCCUCCUCAGGCCAUCUUUCCUGCUCGAUGGACUCACUGGCCAGGCAGCCUCACCAACUAAUUGAGGAUUAUUAACACCUUGCAGCAGCAGUUUCCCCAGCUUGCCUCACACCAGCCUGCAGCCAUUGCUCAGUCUUAUGUAGGCUCACCCAGCCAGCAGCCACCACCACAAGCUUCAGGCCCCAGGCCUCUGUGAUAGCAGAAGGAAGAUCCACUCAUUAGUGGGACAGCCAGGUGCUCCUGCAGCUACUGGAACGUACUACAGUGUGUUAAUCAUCAUAGAACCAAAGAGAAACUGCAACAGUAAAUAAAGGUUCUGUGGCCUAUGUUCUAAGUGAGAACCAUAGCGAGAAGAUAGAUGUUGCACCUGUGCAAUGCUUGUUGGAGCAACAAGGAAGUGUAAGAAGAAAAAACAAAAUAACCAAAAACCCAUUCACCACCACCAAAACCUCACAAAGAGAAAACUCCCAAACACACUGUUCCCUCUGCAGCUAGCUACUUCCAAAGUAGUCCAGUUAAUCUGUAUACACCUAUACACUUUGUCCUUGAUUAUUUCUGAAUAAGAACCAGGAUACUUUU